rnacentral:lncRNA from 1 species
UUUUCAUUUUGCUAUUUGCAGUUCACGAAGUUAUUGGCGUCGCAGUUCACAGAGUCAUAAGCGGCGGUUGUGUUUUUAGAGUAUGAGUUUGUAAAUUAAAUAAUAUAUUUUUUAGUUAAUAUUUUCAAGAUUGGUGUUUGAGAAUUUGUUUCGAUAGAGAUGUUCGUGGGAUUUGAUUUGAUUUGACUAAGGGUAUUUUCGACACA